rnacentral:rRNA from 1 species
GAGUGGAGGACAGAAGUGUGCCCCGGGAAACGACGGCCGACGGAUGAGUAAUGCCUAGGAAUCUGGCUGGUAGUGGGGGACAACGUUUCGAAAGGAACGCUAAUACCGCAUACGUCCUACGGGAGAAAGCAGGGGACCUUCGGGCCUUGCGCUAUCAGAUGAGCCUAGGUCGGAUUAGCUUGUUGGUGAGGUAAUGGCUCACCAAGGCGACGAUCCGUAACUGGUCUGAGAGGAUGAUCGGUCACACUGGAACUGAGACACGGUCCAGACUCCUACGGGAGGCAGC